AGCUUUCAUUUCCAUGUGCUGAUCAUUUCUCUAAAAUAGCAAUCACAUUGUGGCAUAGUUGAGAGGGUCCUGGAUUUGGAGUCAUGAAGAUUUAGGUUUGAAUCUAUCUUCGGUUCCUAAAAAACCCAAAACAUUUAUGGUCCUGGAGAAAGGAAAGAUUUUCAAGAAACCAAAGAGACUGGGGUGCCUCAGACCUCAUUGGAAUGAAGGGAAAAGAGCAUGACAGAUUCUGUCUUGGCUCACAUCCAACCUUUGAAAGUGCGGUUCAGAAAACUUGCCGGGCUGCACAUAACCCACAUUCCUCAGGUAAUGUAAUUCUGGACCCAAAUAGAUUCCAGAAGUCUGAUCUCCCAAGAUGGGGCCCUCAUCCUGGGCUGUCUCUAAGCUCUCAGGCUCUGGCCCACCCCUUUCCUCUCCCUCCCACUUUCUCCAUCCCUCCAGGCGGAAAGGGUUAAGCAGUCAAUUAUAGAGCUUACUGAGUCUAGGGAACAGCUUCCUGAGACCCAGGUUGCAGAGAUCUGAACCAGUUGACGCACCCUGUGAUUGGAGAAUUUGUUUCAUGUUCUGGAUAAAGUCCGAGAAUUUACCCUCCAAAAUUCCUUGGAUUUAGUAACAUGUCAAUGCAUUGUGUUAAUGCAAGUUUUUUUUUUUUAAAGGUUAAAAGCCGCCUUCCUUUUUAAGUAUGAGUAAUCCAUCCAAAUCCUCCUGAAGGGAACAAAAGGGGUGCCGGUAAUUUUCUCUUUCACAAAAUGCAGAGACUUCCUCUCUGCGCUCUCAAAGUACUAUUCUAUGAACUGAAGGGAAAUUACACUCCUCACCAUUGAAAAAGAGAUUAUGCAAAAUGGGAAGGUAAAGCCAGCAGCCAUAAUAUCAAUACAAAUACCGGCUUAAUGUGCUGCUUACAAGGGGACAAGCUUGCCCAUUCCAGAUGUGCAUACUUGCAUCUGUAUGUUUAUUAAUUCUUUCAAAAAUUAUUUCUAUUAUCUAUGAUGUCGGAAGAACUAAAGCUUCCUUAGGAAGAUCAAAGUAAAACAAAAUAUGACUUCAGGUAUGUUUGAGGUAAUAGAAGGAGUUCAGAUUUGUGGCACAGUUUAGAUUCUCCCCAGUGUACAUGGGGGAACACUUACUUUGUACCACCCUGUGAGGUAGCCAGUGAAAGUUUUAUUUCCUCUAUUUUUCUGAAAAGAAGAUUCAAAUGCCUCGAGGUUAAGUAAUUUGUCUAAGGUCACAACUAUGAAGUACUAACUAAGACUGAAAUCCAAAGUCUUCUAACUUAUGUCCAGGGAAUUUUUCAAUAUUGCAGCAUUGGUGAACCUUUUAGAGACUGCAUGCCCAAACUGCACCUUCAAGCUACCUGGGUCCCCCACCCCUGCCACAAUACCCCACAGAGUGGAGGGAAGAAGUGCUCACAUUGGUCUGCUGAACAGAGGAGUGGAACAUGCAAAAAAUGUCCUCAGCUACUUCUGUGGCAUAUGUGCUACAUCUUUGCCAACAGAACCCUAUGAUGUCAAUCUUGUUGGUUUCUUCCAUUGAUUAUCCUUGAUUAUGAGAAGCCUCCAUUUAAAGACCUGUCCAAGGAUUGUCUUUCUGAUAUUUAGAUAAGUUGGUAAAUAGAGCAUUGGGACUGGAGCCAGGAAGAUGCAAGUUCAAAUUCCACUGGAAACAUUUCCUUGCUGUGUGAUCUUGGGUAAGUUAUUUAACACUGUUAGUUUCAUUUUCUUGUAUAAAAAUGAGUACAAGGGGCAGCUGGGUGGCUCAAUGGACUGAGAGCCAGUCCUAGAGAUGGGAGGUCCUCGCUUCAAAUCUGGCCUCAGACAUUUCCUAGCCAGGUGACCCUGAGCAAGUUACUCAACCCCCUAUGCCUAGCCCUUACUGCUCUUCUGCCUUGGAACAAAUACAUAGUAUUGAUUUAAAGACAGAAGGUAAGGGUUAAAAAAAAGGAGUACAAUAUUUCAAUAGUAGUACUUGUAUUUUAUUUUAUGAAUUUAAAAGCAUUAUUAUGGGAAGGGGGUUUAUUGGCUUUAUCAGAAAACCAAAGGAAUCUGUGAAACCAGCAAAGUGAAGAAUCAUUCUGCUAGGUCUUUUGACAUUUCUUAAAUACGAACAGAACACUUAAGAGGUUCAUCUUUUAUCUCUGACUCUUAUCACCCUGAUUGGUCCUUCCUUUUUUGGACAUUUCUUCACUGAUGCCCCUUAUGCUACUCUAUCCACCUAAGUUAUGAUUGGAAAUAUGUUGCGCUUUACUUGUACCCACCAUAUAUCCAUUAUCCAUUGACAUAGUUGGAACUUUAAUGCCUCAGAGACCACAGCCUUCAAAGAUCCCUAGCCAUCUAAUAUCAGUGAUAGGCCAUUCAUGUGGGUAAAGAAAAGUCUUUAUUCUAGAGGUCCAGUUGAGAUCAGUUAUAGGAUUCUGCAGUUUUCCAAAUACAAUCCAACCAGCUCUUCUUCUCCUAUUGAUUUCUAGGUCCAAUUUAUUGUCCAUCUUCAAUGCUUGUCCCAGAUGUAUGGAUUGUUACUCCAAUCUGUUUUCAAUAAUCGUGGAUCCCAUUGGGAAGGCCAUGUAAUUUUCUAGAACUUAGUGUAAUCAGCACAAAGUCAUUUACAAAUAGGAACUGGAGAGAAUUCCUUUUCUAUUUUCCUUGUGUGCAAGAUGUCCUAUAAAGCAGAGGUAAACACCUUGGGGAAGCAUACAUAUCCAUAUUUUAUGCCUAAUAAUCAGUGAACAAAGUUAUCUCUGCAUUUUCAUUGAUCAAGGAAUAUUGUGUGACAUUAACAUGUGCAUGUGAAGCUUCUUAUAGGAGAAGAGCUUUUAAAAUCACAUUUUCCUCUACCAAUUCAAACACUUUCUUUGGAAUAAGUAAAUAGUUAACAAACAAAACGUAAUCUUACACAUUACCAUUGCUCUUUCCCUGCCUUCCACUCCUACCCCAGGUAUUCUUUGAUCUAUUGGCACUGGUCUUCUUGGUAUUUUUCUCAAACUAGUAAUGCCAUGUUUUGGUGAUGGCCAUUUCCCCUAGGAGUCCCCCUUGCCUGGAAUGCUCUCCCUCUUCUGUCUCCUGGCUUCCCUAGCUCUCUUCAAGUCCCACCUUAAAUCUGUCCUCUACAGGAGGCCUUUCUUAAUUCCUUUUAAUUCUAGUGGCUUUCCUCUGUUGCUAAUUUCCUAUUUAUCCAGUUUAUAGCUUGUUCAUAUACAGUUUAUGCUCUCUCCCCUAGUAGAUUGUGAAAUGAGAGCCUUUCUGUGUGUUUAGUACAUAAUAGUCACUUAAUAAAUGCUUGCCAACUGACAUUUGUAUGACAGUAAGGAUAGUCUACUCUAAAGAAUAAUUUACAAAUGUAAUGGGCAUACACCUCAUUCUCACAUAGAAUCAGAAAGUAGGACUUAAAGGACUUGUGGGACUUAGACAUAGUUCCAUAUAUAUAUACAUAUAUAUAUAUAUAUAUAUUUUUAAAUCCUCAUUUUCUCUCUUAGAGUCAGUACUCAGUAUCAGUUCCAAAGCAGAAGAGUGAUAAAGGCUAAGCAAUUGGGAUUGAAUGACUUGUUCAGGGUCACACAACUAGGAAACAUUUGAGGCCACAUUUGAAUCCAGGACCUCCCAUCUUUAGACCUGAUGCUCUAUCCACUGAGCUGUCCCCCCUUUCAAUAUACUUUUCAAAGAGACCUAGGGAGAAAAGGGUUCUAGAAAGAUAGUUAAGAAAGUGACAAACGUAGAUUCUUGAAUGGCAAUUGGGAUUUUCAGAACUGGAGAUAGAAGAUAACUUCCCAACAUGGCUUUGCUUUCUAGCUUGCUUCACUUUCUUGAAGGCCUUUCUCUUCAUAUAUCUUUUUUUUUUUAAGUAUCUAGAACCACUUCCCAUAAUUCCCCUACCUAGCUAUCUUUGUAACACUCAGGAGUCAUAUCUCACGCUUAUCUGUCUACAUCCCCUCUCAAAAUCCUUUAUCUACAUGUUUCUUCAAAUUGUGUCUGGAAUCAACACUGAAAGUACUUUAGGGUACACGCAUAGCAUUGAGAUCAGCAUUCUACCCACAUAUCAGAAAUUACAUUUCCUUCUGCAUACUUGAAAACAUACACAUUGUCCCAAGCUUGGGUAGAAGCUGAGUUAUAUUCAUAUCUUCUUAGUGGAACACUAAGAGGACACAGGAGUGAACAAAAUCUACGUGGUUCCAAAGUUGAAAAGAACUCUGGUCACAGCAUGAUGUGGUAGAGCAAAUAUCGAAGUAGGAGUCCUUUGGGUGCUGGUUCUGUCACAAUCCUGACCCAGUUAUUAUCAAAUCAUAGCCUCUCUAGGAGUCUCCGCAUGUUCAUCUGUAAAACAUGCUUCUUUGUACUAAAAGAUCUUCAAGGGCCCAUUCAACAUUAUGAUUCCAAUAUUAAUGAAUCUCCCAAGCAAAAGCUUAGCCAUUAUCCUAUUGUAAACAUGAAUUUUAUAGGAGAUCAACCCCUGAGCUACAGGAAACAGUCAUAUGGCAUAAGGGUAUACUAAAACCAGUUUGAACUAACUUCCAAGAACCAAUUGUUAAAUUUUCAGUGUGAGCAUUUACACCAUGGAAACUGGCAAAACAUAUAAAUCAGGGCUUUAUUAUUUUGUUGAUUGUCUAAGUUUAAAGAAGUGAUGGAAAAUGUUAAUAAAGGAAUUAAAUUUUAAAGUGUAUUAUAUGUAUUUUUUCUUUUGGAGAUCCAGUUGCUAAACAUUUACCACCACACUGUUGGAUAUAAGUAAUUAGAGAUCCCUAGGACCAAACAUUAAGAAUUUCCAAAUUGGGGUCAGCUAAGUGGCUCAGUGGAUUGAGAGCCAAGCCUAGAGAAGGGAAGUUGAGGGUUCAAAUUUGACUUCAGACACUUCUUUAGUUGUGUAACCCAUUGCCUAAGCCUUACCACUCUUCUGCCUUGGAACCAAUUCAAUCAAUAUUGAUUCUAAGAUGAAAGGUAAGGAUUUUUUUAAAAUUCUGAAUUAUUUGAAACUAUGCAUUUGUGUGUGUGUGUGUGUGUGUGUGUGUGUGUGUGUGUGUGUGUGUGUGUGUGUGCAAGAGCAACAUAACUAUAGAAGCCCAGAAUCUCCAAUCUGGAAAAAACUUUGGAGGUUCAAUGCAUGCCCCUAAAUGAGGACCAUCUGGAACAUCUAACCUAUAUAUGAACAAGAGUUUCCUCUACACUAUCUCAGACAAGUGGGCAUCUAGCUUCUGCUAGAAGAUUUCUAGAAGAGAGAAACUCACUAACUCCAGAGACAGCCCAUUUUAUUUUCACAAAUCACUAGAUGUCAGGCUAUUUUGCCUUGUAUUGAGCUGAAAUCGACUGCUCUAUAACUCCAAGCUAGGGCUACUAGUUUUAUCCUGGGACAAAGCCAAACACAGCUAAUGCAUCUUCUUUGAAAAUGCUUUUCAAAUUCAUGAAAAUGCUGGUAUGGUUCCUCUAAGUCUUUUCUUCAUGAUAAGCAUUCUCAGUUCCUUUAAUAAUUCUUUCAUGGUGCACUCUUCAGUCCUCUCAUCAUCCCCUGCAUGUGUUCAAUGUCGGAAAUGCAUUUGAAAUACCCUUCCUAAAAUGAGGUGUCUAGAUCUGAAUAGAAAACUUUAGUCUACCAAGGCCAGAGCACAACAAUGCUAACAUCUCCUUUAUCAGGGAUCUCAAUGCAGUUUAAAGUUAUAACUGUUUUUGUUUUUGUUUUUUUGCCAUAACACUAUUGAUUAAAUUAAGUUUGCAGUCCACUGAAAUCCCUAGAUCUUUUCUUCCCCUCAUGUUAUAGGGCAUUUAGUGAUAAGCUGGAGCCUGAUCAAUAUUUUGAGGACACUCUCAUUUUUGCAUUUAUGAGCAUGGAGUUGGUGAUAUAUAAGCUGAAGAAGACUUUUGGAAGAUGUGAUAGCUCUCCCAAAAUAUCUGGAGGAUUGUCAUAUGAAAGAGAGAGUAGAUUUGUUCUACUUGUCCCUGGGACAUCAGAAAUAAAAUAAAUGGGGGCGGGAGGGUGAGGGGGGAGAUUUCAAAGAGGUUCAUUUCAGCACAAUAUGAGGGGAAAACAAGACAACAACAAAAAUCCGAGUAAGCUACUUAAACUUUUGGACCAAUGGCUGCCCAGAACUAUCUAACUGCCCAGUUCCCUAUCACAAGAAGUCUCUAUCUGGAGACCAGAUUUGGUGAUCCAUGGGGAAUAUCAUAGAGAGGAUUAGUAGAGAGUUUGGUGAGAGACCUCUGAAGUUUCUUCCCAAUCCUGGAAUUCUAUGACUGAAUAUGGAGGAAGAGCAAAACUUAAUUGGGGAUUUAUUUUAGCCCCUUAGCUCUAAUAUGAAUGCCUUCUCUUGGCUUGGUCCAGAGGCUCAGGUGCGCUUGGCUUCAGUAAGAGUUCUAAAAUACUCCCUCUCUUUGAUAUGUGCAUACAUUCUAAUUAAUCUUCAUUAAGCUGGGCCUUUAAACAGAUGCUUAUAUUAGGGGCCUUUCCUGUUCAGGUCUGGUCCAGCUAAGUUCUCAGCUCAUUCUACAAGACCCAAGGGUCUUAUCAUGCUGAAGGCUGUUCAACAUUUGACUAGGAAAUCAUCAUAAAAUCUUCCAACUCAAUGCUCCUUCACUGAUUUGGCAGCUGUUACCAGUUGAAAUGGUAAUUGAAGCUGGUCAUGAGUCUGGCACUGACAGGCCUUUCCAAAGAGGUGAUUGGCUCAGAGCAGAUUGAGGGGGAGGGACAUUAUGAAGCGAACCUUGGUGAGCCUCUCAGGUCCUUCACAGAUUUUCUCUGGUCCAGUGGCCCUUCUUCACAUGCACAUUCCUAGAGUGAGACUUUCUCUUUUUGCCAGCAAAUAAUGGAAAUGCUCUCUUCUCUGUAGGAAGAUGAUGUUACUGACCCAUCCUCAGAAGGGCAAACCCUCUGAAUUAUUCCGCCCCAAAAAACCAGAGAAUCCAAGUUGGAAGGAAUCUUAGAUGAACCCUUGCCGUGGUGCUGAAUCUUUUAAUAAUAUAAGUGCACAAGGCUCUAGCCUCUGAAUAUUUUCAAGGAUGAGGAACUCUAUUUCAUGAAACAGACUGUCCUGAGUACGAGGGAAAAGAGACAUUGCCCAUUUCAGUAGCAGGGAUGGGUUUCCACUGGGCCAGCCACACUUGCUCAUUCAGCUUCCCUCAUGACCAAAAGCAUAUACUUCUAGGCCAUGUGGCCAGGGCUCAGGCCAGGGCUCAGCGGGGGAAAUAGUCGGGCUGGGCAGACACCAUGAUGGUGAGUCAGAGCCAGCCCCUGCCCCUACUGAGCCCUGGCAGGGGGAAAGCUUUUCGGAGAGCCAAGCUUGAAUAGCUCCAUGUGGAGAUCAACUUCAUACGAAUGACUUCAUGCUUGGGCUUGACAGGAUUGUCCAAUAAACUGCAUUUGCCCUCUGCAGCCAAUGGUGCACUGGGGGAGCCAGGGAGCUACUUACUUAGGUUUUAGAAAUUUCACUUACCUGGGAAAUCAGAGAGGGCCGAUAUCAUCACAUACUGCCAUGGGGACUUUUGAGAUUCUAUAUUCCUAAUCUGGACCCCGGAUAAGGAGACCUUCCUUGAUCUUCUAUCAUUGGGCGACAGUUUGUCAUCUUAAGGUACUAUCUGGCUGUGACUUCUUUUGCUUCUAGAUGAAGGCAUGGAACUCCCAAAUUCUGUAAACUUGG